CAGAAUUCUCUGACUGUACAAACAUGGACUCAGUGACUCAAUGUGACUUAAUACUUCAUCUGGAGAUGAGAAAAGAGAUGUUAUGCUGGAUGUCUUGCCAAACCACAACCUACGGGCUUGAGUCCAGAGGAGAUUUACAUGUUACACAAUUACUGCCUUCUAAUUUUUUUCUGUUUUGAAAUUGAACUUCUAGAAGAAAGGAAAUGUUCCAUCACCUAUCACAGCAUCUGGACCACUGCAAGUACUUAAACAGAUUAUAUUGUUACUGUUAUUAUCAAGUGUACUGAUAGCAGUUUCUUUGGAAAACAGUAAAUAAUCCAGUUUGGUUGGAUCAAAGG